GGUUGGGAAUUGAGCAAGAAGGCACAUUUUGAAGGAAAAGGAGAAGAAAAGAUAAGGGAAGUCUGUGUCUUCCCCACACUCCUCCUCCCCCUCGCCCAGGUCAGCGCCCCGCACUCGCCCCAGCUCACCCCGGUUAGAUCUGUCCAGAAAAGUCCGUCAGGAUCCUAGCCCCCUCCCGCCCCUGUGGGCCUGUUAACCCGGAGCAGAUUUGGGAAGGGAAAUGUGGCUAAUAUCUCUAGCAGCUGUCAGAGGAGGGACCUUCCUUCAAAGGGACUGGACAGGGAUCCUCCACAAGUUCCCCACCAGUCUUGCAGAACCUAGCCCAGGAACCUCCAGAGUGUCAGAUCAAAUGCAAGCAACAAAGGCUCCCCCGCCCCGCGUCACGCCUUCUCCAAUCCUCCUCUUUGGGGAUGCUCCGGGAAGGGCUACUUCCCGGGGACUUGAGGGGACCAGCGCUCCUAGGGCAAGGCGGAGGCAGCCCGGGCUGAUGCCAGUGAAGGGAUGCCUCAGUCCUCCGGUUGUGUUUCAAGAAUUGCUGGGGCUAUUAUGACAACUGAGGGCAAAGAAGGGAAAACAGACUCCAAGAAAACCAUCUCAAAAGUCUUGGAUUUGCUGCUCUUAAAAGGCUGCUGUUCAUUUCUGACUUCCUCAUCUUUUGCUACAAAGGAAAAAGGAAUCUAAUGAUGUGUCUACACUUGAUGAGAAAAAACACUAACAACAGUGAAGGUGCACUUGUUUUAUUUUCUUUUUCCCUGAUUUUUUUUUUUUUAAUAUCCUCUAUUUUAGCAGGUUGAAAGCUGUGGAGAUGUAAAAGGAUGUUCACUUGCCCACAUCUAUUCGCUGACUUUCAUCACUUGAAUUUUGUAGGAUUUUUUUGUCAAAUAGAAGUUAUGGGAAAGAGAAUUAGACACUUGCCAAGGGACAACAGUAUUAUACACUUGCAAGUAAGCUCCACCUAAUCCCGUAUUUGAGUGCUGAGGGGGUGUGUGCUAUUUUCCUUUAAUAAACCUCAAAGCCCUCAUUAGACAUAAAGAGGGGUGAGAACUCUAUUACGGGGCAUUCUGACAAAAAAGGAAGCAGUGCAUCUCUGCUCUUAAGAGCCCUAGGAAACGAUACCCGGAAAAAAUGCCAAAGCCGUUGUGUUUUCCUUUAGAGCCCUGAAGUUGGGCAGACUUCUCAGAGAAAUACAGAGUAAUUAACAUUUUACAAAGCAAAAUGCUGAAACGCAGGGUGGUGGCUAACAAUAAAUAAAUAAAUAAACCAUGCUAAAAAUUAUUCUUCAAACCCUAUAAAUUUUCAGAUGCCACGAAAAAUCAAUGGAAACGCGCCCCCUCCAAACUGAGCACAGAGCUCUCCUACCCUGGAAUUGGAGAUCCCCCCUCGGCUGGAGCACUGGGAGCUAUUACCCGGAGACCACAGGCAGGGGAGGGAGUGUGGCCCCUGCCCCCUUCCCCACCUGUUCCCUCCUCCCCUCCCUGAGGCUCAGGACAGGCGGGGAACUGCGCCGCCGAUUGUGCUCCCAAUCAUCAAGGGGUACUGUGAACUGAGGCUCCUACUAAACCAAGGAGGAAACCCCACCAGCACCCCAGAAGCCGAAGACCCCGCCAAAAGGGAGAGGUCCCCUGUCCCAGGCACACGCAGCUGCCCGCCCAGUCCCGGGCCAGGCUCCAGGUGCCCGGGUGGACAAAAGGAUCCUAGGCCACGUUGGUCCUGGAGCAAGUGUGAAAUGCAAUGGAGGGGAAGAGUGUGUCCCCUCUGCACGCUAUGGUGUGUGUGUGUGUGUGUGUAAGAGGUGUGCACUGUAGAGCGGGCCUCUGGCGGCAGAUGUCAGCUGGGGAUGUUCACCCACGCAGCUUCGGGGGCCACAAUCCCUCAC